GUUUUUUUAAUAUUUUUCUUUUUUAAGAAAAACAAAAAUAACACUCUUUCCUCAUCAGCCAAGAAAAACCAGCAGCUAGCUAAAGAAAGCCUUGAUCUUCAAGAAGAAACCAGGAAAGCAAGGCCUCAAAGCAAACUCCAAAUCGACGCAUCAUGUAGUACACAAAUCCGGCUCAAUCCCCGCAGCGACGCCAACUACUAUUCAGUUCGGUGGGUCAACCCAUCAGCGGUCGGCGACGAUUUGCUGUCUCACUGAAGCAGGUACUUCCUCAACCCAGAACCUGUCAAUGUUGAAAAUAGCUCCUUCUUUAGCCAUUAGAUGAGCUGCCUGGUUAGCUUCCCUUGCGUUGAAUUUGAAUUGCCCCGAUCUUCUUAAUCAAUGUCAAGGAGUCGCCUUCAAGUUAUGUGAAAGUGAAACCCAUCGCUACAGCAAACUCCAAAGCUUGGACCGCUGCCAGAGCUUGAGCCACGAAUGGAUCAGGAACAAUUUCUGAUUCUGCCAAUGAAUAAAUUUCUCGUGUAUGAGCUUUGACCCAGGCCAAGAAAUCCCGAAGUGAGAUCAAAUGUUCAAAGCAAAAGGACAAGCAAGCAAAAGAUGAGUAGUCGAUUCUUGAAAAGAAGCACAUUUAUGGCAAUUUGCAUUAGUUGAGAUUCUCUUAAUCUGUAAAUUGUGGAAAGUUGGCACAUAAUUAUUAGCAAACCUCCAUAGUGUAAUUUUAAUUUUGGGAGGGACUUUAAGUUGCCAAAGUUGUCUGUAGAAAGUAGAAACCAUAGGCAAGUGCAUGCUAAGAUUAGAAUUGCUAUCAUUAGUUAGGCCAGAUAAGAGGAGUUGAUAGCCACUUUUCACAGAAUAGUCCUCUGAAUUGUCAUCACAAUAAGACUGAGCUAAUGGUAUACGGAGAAUUCUACGAGGCUCGUCCAUAUCGAAAAUGGUAUUAAUUAAAUCGUCGUUCCAA